AUUGGGGUAAAUGUGAGCUUAUAUGAGAACACAGCAGCAGUAGGGGUGGGGGGAGUGGGUGGUCUGGUUUUCUGCAUAAUUUGGUUGGAAAAUGUCUUUGUCAUGUAAACUGAUAGCAAAGGUGGUCAGUUUGCACAAUUUACACAUAAGGAUAUAGUUUUUAUUUUGUAAGAACAGGCAGCAUAUUUUUUUUUCACUAAUAUGAAACUUUUAUCUACGAUUUUAGGAGAGGUGUUUGUCAGUAGACCAGUAUCCCAUGUAAUGUUAUAUAUCACACCACUACUGUCUCCAGAUUUACUGGGGUUUUUUUAUCCUCUAUCACACAAUUUGUUGUUAAGAUUUUACAGAGAGACUUACCUUGAUGUCCUCUAUUAAAUAAUACUCCAACAGGUAACAGACUUGAAGCUUGCAGUCACAGAGCAGAACAUUUUUAGUCAACACUUACAGCCUGCUUCAUCUUCCUUUGGGCCUUUAAUCUACAUUUAAAAAGAUUUCAAGAGUUCAGCUCUUCAAGACAUAGAUUUUCUUGGUGCAGAUUUCAGUCUGCAGGAGCAGCAUAUCUGAAACUUCUUUUACCCAUUUCAAGACAAACUUUGGGGACAGAUAGCAAAAGUAGAUUUUGUGUCUGAGUCGCAGAACGAAGGCUAUAGCUUCAAGAACUUUUAAUAUGAAUACAAUUACACAAGUAUGGUGGAAGCAGGCCAAGAAUACUCUUGUAAAUCAGGAUGUGCCAGUGGUUCAGUCUACGCAUGGUCAGAGAAGGCCACCCAACUUGCCCAUACAGGGUACAAUACGAUAAAAGAAAGAAAAAUGUGUAAAAAUCCACUAAUUGUAAAAUCAUCAGGAGUAACUAUGACUCCCUUGCCAAAUGCCUUGUCAUCUAAUCAGUGACACACAUGAAUAGAUGAAGAAGAUUCCCACUGUCUAUCUUGCAAAACCACAGCCAAGUUAGUGGGGGUAGAAGACCCUGUUGAGCUUGACUCACUAGAUGGCAGUAUCUGCCAAUAGAUAGAACGGCAUAAACUGUAAAUAAGGAUUAGGAGAAGCAGAUCCUAGGGGCCCCCAGCCUCCACCGGCACUAUAGAUCAGUCCCUCCAGGAUUUUGCGGGCUUUUUUGUGAUCGUUGCGGCCUAAAAUGCCUGAUUUUGCGGCAGCUCUUCUAAAAAAAUGCGGUAAAAGUUGCGAUCAUUCGAGGCUUAUUUUAUUAAAAUCACAGGAACAAAGGCAGCUGCAAGUUAGCUACAACCGUCUUUCGUGAGUUUUUAGCCAUAAACCACAAGAUAAAUGCAUGAUAUAUUCCACACAGAGUGCUCUGAGUCAUACCUGAAACACAGACAGCCACACAGAGAGACAGACGGGCUCACAGAGCAGCUAAAUGUAGUUACACUCUGUCUUUCAAUUUAGAGAAAACAUUAAUAUAAGCAACAAGUUUUUUGUUUUUUUCACUUUUUCACACACACAUACUCGCGCGCACACACACACACACACACACACACACACACACACACACACACACACACACACACACACACACACACACAGUAAGGAAUAUAAGCGCUUACCUUGACCCUGUCAGCCGCUGCUCUUGUUCUGGAUGCAACAGCCUCUGCCAUUGUGACUUGUCUCGUCUGUCCUCCUUGAGUUUCGGCUGUCGUUCUCCUUCAUGUUUUGUGGUUAAAAAGUGUCCCACCACAAUACUGCCAGCAGUGCAGACGAGGUUACCUCCACUUUCAUGUAAAACAUCAGGAAACUGACUUGCACGAACUUUAGCGGUGAUGUUUGUUGGUAAAUGUGCGCGUUUAGUGUCCCGCAUGUCUUCUUCUUCUCAAUGUAAACACGGAAGUGAAAAUGAUGGCGCGUAGAGGCGCGGGCGAAAGAACGCUAAUGUUGCGUUCGAGUUACCUCGGAAGUCAGAUGUCGGAGCUGAAAAUGACGUCACACCCGAGUUAUCAGCGUUUUGCUACCAAGUCGGAAAAAGCUAAAUCAGACGCAGAAACAUGAUGGCCUUGUCUGAAUAUAACAAGGACGGGUCAAGCGCUAAAAUAACUUUCGUAGGUGUAGCCAUCUUGUUUCAGACCUCCGAUUUUGUUUUUUUUCCGACUUGGUAACUGAUAUGCUGGUAACUCGGGUGUGACGUCAUUUUUAGCUCGGGCUUCUGACUUCCUUGGUUACUCGAACGCAGCACAAGUUUAUUGGUCAAAUUUGCGGGAAAUUCGCGGUGAUUGGACAAAAUUGCAGCGCCUCCGAUUUCGCGGUGAUUGGUUGAAUCUGCAUUAAUAGUUGCGAUCGCAACAUAGUGAAUUCGUGGAGGGACUGAUAAAUAGUAAAUAGAAAACUGUAAAUAGUAGAUAGCCGUUAGAGACAUAUUGUGUGAGACAACAGACAAUUGAAUUUUUCUUCAGGGAUUAAUAAAGUUACUCUUAUUGUUAUUGUUAUUCUUAUUCUUAGAUGAGGAUAGGUAUUUAACUAUAUAUUACGAUAAUAUUCACAAUAAUCAUACUAAUAAUGAUAAUAGUGUAAUAUCAAUUAAAUUCAUCAUGUUGCUUGUAAUAAUAUGAAAAAAAGAUUAAAAGAUGUUUUAGUUUGGGGAGCUGAACACCUAAAUAAAAAGGACAUACACUUAUACUGCAGGAUAACAAAGUGAUGUCUUUAAUCGCACAAUAGUUUUUUUUAUUUCAUUUGGUCUUUUGCAUUCUGACUUUAUCCAUUGUUGAAGGUGUUAAUUGAGUGAGUCAAAGGAAAUCUCAAGGGAAGCAUAUUUUCAUGAUAUGCUUGUUCUCACUCUGAUAAUUUGUAUUUGGCAUUGAAAACAAAUCGCUGAGUUUACUAUUCCGAUUGAUUCCACAGCUCUCCAUAGUGCAUCAAAUAUUACCCUCAGUGGCACAGCUCAGCAGGGUAGUCUUCAUUGAUUUGGCCUGUGGUGAGGCUUUUAUUAACAUCUAAGACAGGGAUGAGGUCAAACCCCAUGAAUAUACAAAUACGUCUCAGGAGACGCUGUUAAAAGGUUAAACUGAGAGUUUGCAGACAGAUCCAGACAUUUUGAGUUUAAUUAAAAAACAACAGUGUUGUAUGGAACUGUUUUGUAAAUUUAGAAACAUAGCAAAGCAGGAACAAACGUAUGAUCUUGCAGCAUUUAAAACAAAUUGCUGCCAAAAGCAAACAGCAAACUUUCUUUAUCAAUUAUCAAUCAACAAUGCAAAGUUAGACACACUUCAAAACUGCUGAUGGACAACAAAAGGGAAAGGGCAGCAGCUUAGUCUGUAGGGGCUUGGCUUGGGAACCAGAGGGUGGUACUUUCCAGCUCUGGUCAGAACCAAAGGCAUGGAGAGUGAACUGCGAGCUGGAGGGUGCCAGUUCACCACCUGCAGCCUUAAGUGAAACACCAAGCCUCCAACUACUGAGGGUAGUCGCCUGUGUGCAGGCCCCUCACUCUGACAUCUCUCUGUUAAUGCAUGUUUUUCUAUUUGCACAUGUGUGCAUAUAUCUUAGCCUAUAUUUGUGUAGCAUUAUCAAAAACAGAAUAAAAAGUGAGAUUUCCCUUUGAGAGGUGCUCCAGGGAUGUAGUAGUAAGUAGCUGUGCUGUUAACUGAGGUGAUCAGCCAACAGCAACUGAAAAUAGCAGCAGCUGCGACUUUAGCAAAACUGUCUGUCCACCAAAAGCUUGUGUUAAAAAUGAAGCUGUUUUGCUGAGAUAAAAUGAACAGUUAAAGGACAUACUCUUUUUAUUGUGCACGUGAGCUUAUUUGAUACAAAUUUCAUUCUGCUCUGUGCUGGAAGAGAAAUUUCUCUCCUAUUGCUCUGUGAGAAGUCAUCCAAACUGAGGGUGUUCUGUAACAUCUAGUGAUGCAAACUGUUUGUGUAAGGUUUAUAAAAUCAAAAGCAGUUGCAAUUUCCAGUGAUAUUUCAGUCCUCUCAAAGUACCACAUUGCACUGCAUUUUAGAUGACCUAGUUUAUGAGAAGUUACAGUACCAGUGAUCACCAUUAAUACAUAAAAAUUAGAAAACAAAGUCAUUUUUAGAUCAUUUGACUAUAUUUCAGAGCAACUAUUUGAAACCUGAAUGGGGAUCUCAAGGCUUUCAGUUAACUGAUGGCUCAGUUUUUUGGUGACAUACUCACACUCUCAGGAGGUGGCUGUUAUAAGAGACUAAAACAAGAUUUUCUUUGGCUAUUAGCAUUUUAAAGAGUCUUUUAGACCUUGCAAUCUUGUGUUUCACUAUGUGACACCAUAUCCAGUUUCAGUGACAGUUGUAAAUGUCUCUGCUGCAUAACUAACUGUCUUAAAAUCAGCAUCACAAGGGUUCAUGGUAAGUGGUGCAAUCAACUUUUAUGACUGAGCACUGACUUUUAAAAGUCUAGACCCUGAAUACAAUACAGUCUUGAUUUUAAGGUAUUUCAAGAGACAAAAACAUCUUUUUUCAGUAAAUAUGGUACUUCGCUACCCCUGCAUCACCAAUGUCAUUGCAAAUCCUGCUGGGUAAAAAGGACAUCUGGUCGGUGGCCUGUCUGUGAACCAUCAUCAAUAAUAAAACACUUAAAAACUGAAGGGUAGUACUGGGACUUACACUGGCCUACAUCUCCACAUCUCAGUCACAGCAGGCAGCUGGUGAUCAGAGCCUCUCUACAGGAAGACAAAUAUCUGGUCUUUGAAGUCUAAGACACAGUACAGUAUACUGCAUGGCAUUUGUGGAGUUAACACAUAUAACAAAUAUAAAAACAUGUUCUGUGUCUCUUUGCAUAAGUAUUACAUGCAGGGCAAAUCAUUUUGAUAAGAAACAACUAUAAAUAAGUUGAGGGUGAUGUAUACUUUGUUUUGCAUGACUAUAAGGAACUUUCCGUUUGUGUUGAUGAUGCGAUAAAUCCUCCCCAGGCAAGUGCCAGCCAGGUCAACCAAAGGGCCUCUCUGUAGUUGGCAGAUGCCUGAAAACCCCCAAGACGGCAUCCUUCACAGAUCGCAAAACCAUCUCAUCUGGCUUUUUUUUGAUGUAAAGGACGAAUGGUUUCACCCUAAGCUCCCUCUGGAUGUCUGAGCGCUAGACCCUAUUUUCCCAGGCUGAGCCCAGCUACUCAUUUCAGCCACUUGUACCAGUGACCUAAUUCUUUUGGUCACUCCUCAAGGCUGAAACGACAUGUCUGUCAGUUUCAGAAUCCAUU